rnacentral:sRNA from 1 species
GGAUAUGAGGGCAAUCUGGCUGUGACUUCUAUCACCCCACUGGUGGCCAGGAUGGAGUCAGCUGACCUGGAUGGCUAGACUGUACAUCUCUUUCCUCCCUCACCACAACAUGUGCCCCCUUCCUGAAGCAUGCUUGGUUUAAAGAGGAAGCCUUCCCAGAAUAAAGGAGGAACCCCCCCAAAAAAGUUCUCAAAAGACUGAUAAAUUUGAUUUCCUUAUUAUAUGUGUGUGUGUUUAUACAUACAUACAUACAUA